rnacentral:rRNA from 1 species
GUAGGGAAUAUUGGGCAAUGGUCGGAAGACUGACCCAGCCAUGCCGCGUGCAGGAAGACGGCCCUCUGGGUUGUAAACUGCUUUUAUCUGGGAAGAAAAAGGCCAUGCGUGGCAAAUUGCCGGUACCAGAUGAAUAAGCACCGGCUAACUCCGUGCCAGCAGCCGCGGUAAUACGGAGGGUGCGAGCGUUGUCCGGAUUUAUUGGGUUUAAAGGGUGCGUAGGCGGCUGAUUAAGUCAGCGGUGAAAGACUUCGUCUUAACCGGAGCAGUGCCGUUGAUACUGGUUGGCUUGAGUGUCGGAGGGGUACAUGGAAUUGAUGGUGUAGCGGUGAAAUGCAUAGAUACCAUCAGGAACACCGAUAGCGAAGGCAUUGUACUGGCCGACAACUGACGCUGAUGCACGAAAGUGUGGGGAUCGAACAGGAUUAGAUACCCUAGUAGUCC